rnacentral:rRNA from 1 species
UACAGAGGGGGCAAGCGUUGUUCGGAAUUACUGGGUGUAAAGGGUUCGUAGGCGGUGCGGCAAGUCGGGAGUGAAAUCUCUGGGCUUAACCCAGAGGCUGCUUCCGAAACUGCUGUGCUUGAGUGUGGGAGAGGCGCGUGGAAUUGCAGGUGUAGCGGUGAAAUGCGUAGAUAUCUGCAGGAACACCCGUGGCGAAAGCGGCGCGCUGGACCACUACUGACGCUGAGUGAACGAAAGCUAGGGGAGCAAACAGG